rnacentral:lncRNA from 1 species
ACGGAGACGUCUGUACUUAUCCUCGGGCGGCUAUAGGGCUGUUAAGAGUACUUUCCUUCUUGAUUUCUUUAUCGUGCGGUUCAAUUCCCUUAAGGCUUAUGCCUUUGAUUUCUUCCUACUUAAUAUUACUCAAGCGAUUGUUAUAAAUGGAAAAUUGAAAGAUUAUAAUGGCACUACAAAGGUAGUGCGAGAUGAUUCUCCCGGUAUAGUUGAUUGGACU